AAUAGUCAAAACCAUCCACCACUGCGCCUCCACCCAAGAAAGCUAGAGGGAUAGAGAUCAGAGGGGUGGAGCCCCCUCCUACUCGGGUGCCAUCUCAGUCUACUUCUGCCAUGCCCUCCCCUACCAACUUAGGGAGGAGUGAUGUCUCCCAGGGCCCACAAAAUUCUCCUUAGGCUUUAUCAGUCAAACCCCCAUCUCAUCAGCCAAUCGAGGUGAAAAGAAAUAACAAUAGCUGACCUGCACCUCCACCC
rnacentral:lncRNA from 1 species